GCGGAUGGCCGGAUGACCGCGAGUGUUCAUAGCUCUGCCUUAGUGGAUAGCUGAACGCUCGAGGAAAGUCCGGACUCCAUGAAGUGACGGUGCCGGGUAACGCCCGGGCGGGGCAACCCGACGGAAAGCGCCACAGAAAAUAAACCGCCCUGUGAUCUGCCUUGGUGGGCCACACGGGUAAGGGUGAAACGGUGGGGUAAGAGCCCACCGCGGGGCUGGUAACAGGCCCGGCAUGGCAAGCCCCACCGGGAGCAACGCCGAAUAGGGAUCGUGUGCCGCCCCGGCAACGGGUGACGGCAGGGGAACUUCGCCCCGAGCGAUCCGGGUUGGCGGCUGGACCCUGUGAGCAAUCGCAGGGCGAGAGGAAUGGUCAUCCAGAGGGGCAACCCUUGGACAAAAUCCGGCUUACAGGCCAUCCGCGCAA
rnacentral:RNase_P_RNA from 1 species